rnacentral:rRNA from 1 species
AUUGAACGCUGGCGGCAUGCCUUACACAUGCAAGUCGAACGGUGACAGGUCUUCGGAUGCUGACGAGUGGCGAACGGGUGAGUAAUACAUCGGAACGUGCCCGAUCGUGGGGGAUAACGAGGCGAAAGCUUUGCUAAUACCGCAUACGAUCUACGGAUGAAAGCGGGGGAUCUUCGGACCUCGCGCGGACGGAGCGGCCGAUGGCAGAUUAGGUAGUUGGUGGGAUAAAAGCUUACCAAGCCGACGAUCUGUAGCUGGUCUGAGAGGAUGAUCAGCCACACUGGGACUGAGACACGGCCCAGACUCCUACGGGAGGCAGCAGUGGGGAAUUUUGGACAAUGGGCGAAAGCCUGAUCCAGCCAUGCCGCGUGCAGGAUGAAGGCCUUCGGGUUGUAAACUGCUUUUGUACGGAACGAAAAGCCUCUUUCUAAUAAAGAGGGGUCAUGACGGUACCGUAAGAAUAAGCACCGGCUAACUACGU